rnacentral:lncRNA from 1 species
UUAGGAGUAGGAUAUGUUAUGUGUAUAUAUAUAGGGCUCAUUGUAUCAUGUUUAAUAUCAGUUAUAUUCUUCUCCCGUGCUUUCUCACAAGUAGCCUUAAAUGACAUUAAGAUAACUGUGUAAUGCAUUUGCAGUUUGGAUUACUGCAUACCUGAAGCAAGGUGGACUUAAUCAAAUGGAUAAAAGAUUAUGAGGUUAUCAGCAACACUCGUGAACUGGAUAAAAGAUUAAGGACUUAAUACUUUAGCCAAAAAGAAAAAAGAAAAAAACAAAUAUAGAUUCAGGAGUUGAAGUGUUUCUUCAAGUAGGUAGUAUAUUAAUGAAGCGUGCAGAAUUGUCCUCAACGUUUUCCAAACUCUAUUUUACGUCCUAUUCUCGUGUGAUAGAAAAUACUCGAUGCAUUCCAAACUCUCUUUCACAUCCUUUUCUCAGGUGAUAGAAAAUCCAAAGACCAGCUUAAAUUUUGUCAGAAUGUCUCAAAUUUGACAAUAUUUUGAAAUAUCCAGUUCUGCGAGCUGCAACAUAUUUACCAAACAUUCUCAAUAUAUAUAUAUAUAUAUAUAUAUCAAAAGCACCUGCACACUAAGUAUUUCUUCAGCAUACCUAAGAAAAGCUGAUCUUAGAAAAUGAUCGUUUAGCCAAUUAUUGAUCUUCCAAGUAAUAUUAGCCUUGCACCUAGCAUCCAGAAAUGACCACUGGGUCAGUUUUACUAUCACAAAGAGUAAAUACAUGGAUAGUUACUAUAAUUAAAAAGAAUGUUUAGAAAUGUAAAAUCACUAGAGAGACAAAAGAGAGAAGAAAAGGAAAGAAAACAGUCAAAACAUUGUAAAAACUUGGAAAAUAGGCAAGGAGAGAGUUCAAUAUAUUAUUAUAAAUUUUAAGUUCACGCCGCAAGCAGAGGCGGAGACACAAUCUCAACUUUAUGGGUUCUAAAUUUCAGAACGAAGACAAAAGUGCUAAAAGUUGGGUUCUAAAUUUAAUUUUAAAAAUACAACAAAAGUUAUUGGGUUUGACCGAACAUGCAUACAUGCUUAUUAUUGUCAUUUAGAUAGAAAACACUAAUAAAUUACUUCUUCCACCCCAAUUUGUUAAUCCCUUUUCACUUAUUAAAGGUUAAUUUUGACCAAAAUUGAAUCAGGCAUAUUAACACAAUUCUAUAAAAAUACAACAACAUUUAAUUAUAUAGAAAUCAAGCUAGAGUACAUCAGAACCAAAUGUAAAAAAAUUUAAAGAGAAGUAAUUUGAAACAAAUUUAAAAGAAUUGUAGUCAGUUUUAAAACAUCACAACAAAUGUAAACAAGAUGAAAAAUAUCAAAAUUUAAAUAAGAAAAAUUUGGGAAGAGAAAAAAUAUUUUAAGAAAAAACUAUAACACAUCUUAAGGAAUUGCAAGCAAAACAAACUCUUAAUACUCAAUCCAAUUGGAAACAAAUAAAAACAGAAAAUUUUAUAAUCGUAACAACUGACUCUGGUCACUCAACAAUGGUAGAAAUCAAAAAAAUUACUAUAGUUGACUCAGGAAAUAGAAAAACAUAAGUGAAUUUUCAUAAUCCACUUCAAAAAUUGAAAAAGGACAACAUUUUUACCCUAAUAUACAAACAAAAAUGUAGGCUCAGUGUUUUUGCUAGCAAAACUAAAUGAGACGAACUAACAGAAGAAGUAGAGAAAUAAAUAAGAGAAUGGAAAAAAAACCGUUUCCGGUGGAAAAUGGUGGUCGGCGGGGAGUGCCGGAGAAGUAAGUGUUCGACGCAGCAGGGAAGAGAGAGAGAGAGAGACUUUCAAAAAAAAAAUUGCCCAAAAUGUGCACAUUUUAAA